rnacentral:rRNA from 1 species
UUUCGACCUGAGGUCAGGCAAGAACACCCGCUGAACUUAAGCAUAUCAAUAAGCGGAG